rnacentral:rRNA from 1 species
GAUCUUAAUAAAUCCUUUAAACACAUAGGUUUGGUCCCGACCUUACAAUCAAUUAUUUCUUAACUUACACAUGCAAGUCUCCGCACACCCGUGAGGACACCCUUUAUCCCCCUUAGGAGUAAGGAGUAGAUAUCAGGCACAUACGCCCAAAACAUCUAGCUUUGCCACACCCACAAGGGUACUCAGCAGUGAUUAAUAUUAAAAAUAAACGCCAGUUUGAUUUAGUCAAAGAAAUUCAGAGCCGGCUAAUCUGGUGCCAGCCGCCGCGGUUACACCAGAGACUCAAUUUGAUUAUAAUACGGCGUAAAGCGUGAUUAAAGAACACACACAUUAAGGUUAAACUUAAACUAAGCCGUCAAACGCUUGUUCAUAAGAAACCCACACCCGAAAGUUACCUUAACCAACACUUGAAUUCACAAUARCUAGAACUCAAACUGGGAUUAGAUACCCCACUAUCUCUAGUCGUAAACUUUAACUUACCCCCACCC